rnacentral:misc_RNA from 1 species
GAUGAAGAACGUAGUGAAAUGCGAUAAGUAAUGUGAAUUGCAGAAUUCAGUGAAUCAUCGAAUCUUUGAACGCACAUUGCGCCCCUUGGUAUUCCAUGGGGCAUGCCUGUUCGAGCGUCAUUUGUACCUUCAAGCUUUGCUUGGUGUUGGGUGUUUGUCUCGCCUUUGCGUGUAGACUCGCCUUAAAAUAAUUGGCAGCCGGCGUAUUGAUUUCGGAGCGCAGUACAUCUCGCGCUUUGCACUCAUAACGACAGCGUCCAAAAGUACAUUUUACACUCUUGACCUCGGAUCAGGUAGGGAUACCCGCUGAACUUAAGCAUAUCAAUAAGCGGAGGA